rnacentral:pre_miRNA from 1 species
UCUUAUGGAUGAGCAAAGAAAGUGGUUUCUUGAGAUAGAAUUUACUCCUAGUGAAGAUGUUGUGAA